AUGGCGCGCCGCCUCUUCUCCGCCGCGAGAGCUCUCGUCCCGCCGGUCCCAGUGCCUGCGCCGGCGCCGGUGCCCGCGUCUUCUUCCGCGGCCGCGGAAGCCGCGGCGUCGCUCCUGCCGCUGCUCCCGUGCAAGCGGCGGAAGAAGCUCCUGAAGAAGCUCAACAGCCCGCGCAUCGCGCCCAUCGAGCCCGAGGCCGACCGCCGUGUGCCGGCGCUCGACGCCGUCCUCGACCGCGACGCCGCCUUCCGCUUCCUCUCCCGCGCGCGCUCCUUCAUGGCCUCCCUCCCGCCCCCGCACCGCAUCCCCCUCGCCGAGGCCGGCAAGCUGUACCGCGAGCUCGGCUUCCCCCGCGGCCGCAGCGUCUCGCGCGCCGCCGCCCGGCACCCGCUGCUCUUCCACCGCACCACCGUGGGCUCCGUCCCGCACCUCGCUUUCACGCCGCUCAUGUGCUCGCUCCUCGAGGAGGAGCGCCGCGUCCACGAGGAGCUCCUCCCCGCGCGGGUGCUGGCCGUCCGGAAGCUCCUCAUGCUCACCGCCCACCGCCGCCUGCCCCUCGCGAAGCUCCACCACUGCCGCGCGGUGCUCGGCCUCCCCGACGACUUCCGGGACCGCGUCCGCGACUUCCCGGACGACUUCCGCGUCGCCGUGGACCCCGACGGGCUCCACGUUCUCGAGCUGGCGCGCUGGGACCCCGCGCUCGCCGUCAGCGCCCUGGAGCACGACUUCAUGGUGGACGAGCGCCGCGUUCGGCGCACGUUCCGCUUCUCCGUCCCGCACCGCCGGUCGAUGCCGCUGGACGGGGAGGAGGCGGAGCGCCUGGACGCGGCGACCACGUUCCCGCUGGUCUCGCCGUACACCAACGGCGCGCUGCUGCGGCCGUGGACGCCGGAGGCCGAGAAGUACCGCGUCGGGGUGGUGCACGAGUUCCUGAGCCUGACGCUGGAGAAGCGCGCGCUGAUACACCACGUGUUCGAGUUCAAGGAGGAGCUCGGGCUCACGCGGCACAUGUACCAGUCGCUGCGGAAGCAGACCCGCGCCUUCUACCUCGCCGGCACGGAGAUGAACUGGGCCGUGUUCCUCCGGGACGCGUACGACGACGACGGCGUGCUCAGGGACAAGGAUCCCCUCGUGCUCUUCAACGAGAAGCUGCAGGGCUACGCGUGCAUGACCGAGAUGGAUCCCAGGAACACCAUUGCUGAAUGA
rnacentral:rRNA from 1 species